CUGAAAAACCACACCUGAGGAAUCUCAGCUAGACCUGACUUAGUCCUGGCUCUCAAGGUUGAUGGCAUCUUUGGAAAAGGGGGAAUACAGUUUCGCAUAUGGGAGGAACAUGAGUAAAAGUAAGGCCAGAAAGAGGACUGAAGAGAGAUUAAGAUGUCUAUAAAUUAACUGACAUUGCUCCCAUUACGAGGUAGGAUCCAUGUCCCUCCCCUUUAAACCUCAGAGCAUUUAUGAGCAUUUCACCCCAGUGUGUAAGAAAUAAUGCUACAUGACCUCAAAGGCUAGGUCAUAAAGGGCAACUGUUUCCUGGAAUACUUCUGCUUGGAACCUUGAGCUACUAGGGAAGACAGUCCAACUCCAAAGCUGCCAUAUGGAGGAAGCCAGGCCAUACGUGAGGAGGCCAGGCCACACAGAGAGGCAAGCCAUGUGUGGGCCUUCUGCUCAGUAGUCCUCAUCUUCCACCUGUCCUAAUCCCACACACCUGACAUAUUCUUCCCAAGUGACUUAAUUUUAUACAAAGUAUGAAACAGACCUUCAAAUGAAUACUCUCCAAAUAUGUAAGAUUCGUGCCAUAACCUGAUUUAAAACUUGUUUUCUA